rnacentral:rRNA from 1 species
UACGAAGGGUGCAAGCGUUACUCGGAAUUACUGGGCGUAAAGCGUGCGUAGGUGGUGAGUUAAGUCUGUCGUGAAAGCCCCGGGCUUAACCUGGGAACUGCGUUUGAAACUGGGAGACUUGAGUGUGGCAGAGGGGGGUGGAAUUCCACGUGUAGCAGUGAAAUGCGUAGAUAUGUGGAGGAACACCAAUGGCGAAGGCAGCCCCCUGGGUCAACACUGACGCUCAUGCACGAAAGCGUGGGGAGCAAACAGG